rnacentral:misc_RNA from 1 species
CCGAGUUUCCAACUCCCAAACCCCUGUGAACAUACCUAUCGUUGCUUCGGCGGGACCGCCCCGGCGCCCCCGGGCCCGGACCCAGGCGCCCGCCGGAGGUCCCCAACCCCUGUCUCUGCCGAGUAUCUUCUGAGUGAUACAAGCAAAUAAAUCA